rnacentral:rRNA from 1 species
CCUACGGGGGGCAGCAGUGGGGAAUAUUGCACAAUGGGGGAAACCCUGAUGCAGCGACGUCGCGUGAGUGAUGAAGUAUUUCGGUAUGUAAAGCCCUAUUAGCAGGGAAGAAAAUGACGGUACCUGACUAAGAAGCCCCGGCUAACUACGUGCCAGCAGCCGCGGUAAUACGUAGGGGGCAAGCGUUAUCCGGAUUUACGGGGCGUAAAGGGGGCGUAGACGGCGGUGCAAGCUAGAUGUGAAAGCCCGGGGCUCAACCCCGGGACUGCAGUUGAAACUGUGCUGCUAGAGUGUCGGAGAGGCAGGCGGAAUUCGUGGUGUAGCGGUGAAAUGCGUAGAUAUUAGGAGGAACACCGAUGGCGAAGGCAGCCUGCUGGACGGUGACUGACGUUGAGGCUCGAAAGCGUGGGGAGCAAACAGGAUUAGAUACCCCUGUAGUC